AGUAAACUUGGUGGCUGAAGAAAAAGCUCCGCAGACAACACCAGUGAGUGGGACGCGGCUGGUUAUAGAAAUGAUUGUGGGCUUAUUUACGUGUUUGAGUUUGCUUUAAACCGAGGGGCCGAGCUACAACAUUCAGCACUUUCCCCUCCUCCUCCUCCUCCUCACUACCCCUCCGUGAGCAAAAACAAGAGGUCUGCACAGAGGAACUAAAGGAGACCGCGGAGGGCUACAAUGAGAAGAAAAGACACAGGAGAGACAGGAGGGACAAGAAUGCGACUCAAGUAGAAGACAGCGGACGCACAUCACCUCAAAGUGCCUGGAUGUGCUGGAUGCUGCAGCAGCCUCGUGCCGGCGCAUGCUUUUCCCCACACUGCUGUUCCCUGCAGCCCUGACUGUGUAAGUGUAUCUGUGAUUGCGCUUGGCCUUGACUCGGGCUGUGUUUCACUCUGCGAAGCAAACAGUCCUUCGGCCCGUUUGCUGUUCCUCGAUCCCAAGCCUCCCCCCACCCCCGCCCCCCGCCCCCCCACCUCGCACGCAAUAUCAUUCCGUUGAUCCAAG
ensembl:lncRNA